AUUGUUGUUUUGCAUUUUGCAAUGUAAUAUAAUGUGAAUUAUUAUUUUAUUGAUCAUUCAUGAUGUUAAUCUCACUCAGGACAAUGCCAAGCUAGUGAAAGAGGGGAAGGUCUAGAACAUGACGUACACAUUCAAAUGGAUUCCAACAAAUGUUCCCUUGGAUAAUCGUUGAUAUAUAUGUCUGGAUUAUCCCUUCUUUCAGCACCAGAGGACAAAAAAUGGAGGAAGCAGUAGAUCAAGAAGGAGAUUCGUCAUUAACGAAACCAAAUCAAAGAAUUGGCGGUCAUCUACACAUCAUCGCAAGAAUUUUGAGAGAUCACAUCUAUAUUAAUUUAGUUGUUAUUCGGUAAAUAUUUAAAAGGCGAAGAGUUAGAAAAGUUAAAUUCAAGAAAGAAGAAGAAUUGGGAAAUGAAGAUAAUGUUAAUAGGGAAGAGGGCAAGAAUGAGGACUUGAGGAAGAAGACGAUCAGAGUCAAAAUAAAUAUGUUUAUAUAUUAUGUUGUAGUUAUGUUUGAUAUAUUUUCUUAUGUUAACGAAUAUAAUACUUUAAUUACCUAAGUUGAUGAAUGAUUCAAUAGCUUAUAUC